GGCUUGCACUGUCAAUGCCAGGAUCCAACAUGGUUGAUUUUUAAACCGGCAGCGGCCAACUUCCUGAUCACGUGCCCGGCACAUCUCCAAAGCGACGCUAAGACCAAACAUGAGCGCGGGGGGCGGGAACGAGCUGUCAUGACGACGCGAGGGGCAGGAAGAGGCGUUACCGAGGUAACCGUGGCCUAGAGAGGCGCCAUAGCAACGGGCGCGCGGCCUGAACACACGGAGAGACACAGAGAGAGAGAGCGGCACCGGACUCAUCAUGUUCAAAAACACCUUCCAGUCCGGAUUCCUCUCCAUCCUGUACAGUAUCGGCAGCAAACCCCUCCAGAUCUGGGACAAGAAGGUGCGGAACGGACACAUCAAGCUCACAAAAU